rnacentral:rRNA from 1 species
UACGGAGGGAGCUAGCGUUGUUCGGAAUUACUGGGCGUAAAGCGCACGUAGGCGGCUUUGUAAGUUAGAGGUGAAAGCCCGGGGCUCAACUCCGGAACUGCCUUUAAGACUGCAUCGCUUGAAUCCAGGAGAGGUGAGUGGAAUUCCGAGUGUAGAGGUGAAAUUCGUAGAUAUUCGGAAGAACACCAGUGGCGAAGGCGGCUCACUGGACUGGUAUUGACGCUGAGGCGGCGAAAGCGUGGGGAGCAAACAGG